AACGAACGCUGGCGGCAGGCCUAACACAUGCAAGUCGAGCGAGGACUUCGGUUCUAGCGGCGGACGGGUGAGUAACGCGUGGGAAUGUGCCCUUCUCUACGGAAUAGCCCUGGGAAACUGGGAUUAAUACCGUAUACGCCCUAUUGGGGAAAGAUUUAUCGGAGAAGGAUCAGCCCGCGUUGGAUUAGGUAGUUGGUGGGGUAAUGGCCUACCAAGCCGACGAUCCAUAGCUGGUUUGAGAGGAUGAUCAGCCACACUGGGACUGAGACACGGCCCAGACUCCUACGGGAGGCAGCAGUGGGGAAUCUUAGACAAUGGGGGCAAACCUGAUCAAGCCAUGCCGCGUGAGUGAUGAAGGCCUUAGGGUUGUAAAGCUCUUUCAGCUGGGAAGAUAAUGACGGUACCAGCAGAAGAAGCACCGGCUAACUCCGUG
rnacentral:rRNA from 1 species